UUGAGAGAAACAUUUUAGCCUUUCUGGUGGUGAUGACCUACCCACGAGAACAUGCCUCUCGCAAAGGAUCUCCUUCAUCCCUCUUCAGAAGAGGAGAAGAG